rnacentral:tRNA from 1 species
ACUUUGAUGACCGAAAAGCACAGGUGAUAAAUUUUUAAUUUAUUUAUGGGUUAGAGACCCUCAAGGUA